AACUUCCAUAUUGACUGACCACCCACCUGUGCUACAUGAAAUGGUUUCGUCCACUAAUACGUUUACCUUGCUUCCUAGCUGUAGCUGUCAGUCGGCAGUUAUGCCAGUACCUACUAAAAUAAUAUCUGAGAGUGAAAAAAGAAUGGAAGUCCAGGGUGUACCACACCUCUUACCUGGAGUCAGCUAGGCUCCAGCAUACGCGCAUCCCUGAUUUAACAACAGAUGAGCCAGCAGCAGUUCUCUCUCCCCAUACUUUACCCCUCUCUGUCCAAGUGAAGAAGGUGAGCAACACUGUGUCCAAUGGCAUGUAAACAGUAUUAUUACAGGGAGUCUGUGGGAAUUACAAAAAAUAAGAAAGCAGAUAAACAGAAUAUUUUUUUUAGUUAGAGCAUAGAAAACCUUUCCAAAUAUGAUUUCUCACCAUUAGGGCCCUCUAGACAUGAAAUACCACCGUUUUAUAUUCCUUUUAGCCAAUGUAGUAGUUAUAAUCAGAGAAAAAAAUCAAUUUAAGACAUAAAUAAUACUCAUGCUCUUGUGUGUUUCAAUAAAUGUGUUCUGGAUGUGUGGACAGGAAGUGAUGUCAGGGAUUCAGAGAUUAAUUUUAGUAGGGUCACAACAGUUGCCUGUGUUAUUAUUAUAAUGAUGAUGACUGCUAGUGACUCAUGUACAUCUUUUACAUUUAUUUGCGUGAGAGACACAAAGAGGUAAUGAUGUGACUACAAUAGAAGAGAGCAUGUAUGAUGGAGUUUUAAGCAGACAAAAAGGCUACAAGGUGGCACUAGUGCAUUUUAUAAGAGCACGCCCUGCAUCUUUCCCACUGAAAUCCAAGCUCUGCAGCAACCAGGAAGUGAAAAGGAAUCAUGCCAUGUUCCGCAAAGGAGGUUACGAAGGGAAAUUUUAACACAUGCACAUGUGAGAGUCUUCUUUUGGUAUAUACUGUGUCUUUUUACCCAAGAACACAAUAUUCUAUGUGCCUUGAAAAAUCAUCAAAAACGGCUGGGAUUGUGCCUGUUCUAAGAGAAAUAAUUCCAAACUAAUGCAAGUCUCUUGUUGCUGAUCAAGCCUGGUGACACCUAGUGGCCAGUAGUAGACAAAGCAGGGAUUAUUUCUGAAUAAAUCUUUGAAAAACUGAAAGACUGAGGGAGUGAUGUGUGAACCGCAAUGGAGCGAGGGUGUCUCCUUAGGACAGAGGUAGGGAACCUAUGGCUCGGGAGCCAGGUAGGGCUCUUUUGAUGACUGUAUCUGGCUCUCAAGCAUUUACCACAAUAAAAAUGUAUGUUUGCUAACAUUUUAAAGUAAACAUGACAGAAAUCACUGUUAAAAAUAAUAUUAAAAAUCAAAACUUUCUUAUGCAUUUUAAUUCGUCCAUCUAUUUUCUACUGCAAUAUGGCCGACCAUAUCCAUCUUUCCUAAUGAUAUGUUCCAGGUCAAACACCAAAACUUGAUUAUUACUGGGUAAUGCGGUAGUCUACCUCGGUCAUUGAGAUGUCAAAAAAACAUGUAAAUGUAAACUUUCCUCCUUUAGUCAAAUAGUCACCUAGCUAAAGCUGCAGAACCAAGCCUUUUGACGAAGAUGGCCAAAAGAAUGAAAUACGUGUACUGAAUACGGUUCAAAACUAUGCAGCAGCAGAAGUUGCAUUAAUGGCAGCAAGUAUUUGAUUUAUUAUUAGACACUGCGCUGCUCACGAAAGUGUGCUGGCCACACCCCAUUGGCGUGGGGUAGUGUGCCUGGUCUACAUAAUUAGAGCCCAUUAUAUCUAAAACUGCUGGUCUUACAUACAAAUGCACACAUUUUAUUGCAUUCAAUGUUUAAAAAAAUGUAUAUGGCUCUCACAGAUACACAUUUUAAAAUAUCUGGCCUUCAUGGCUCUCUUAGCCAAAAAGGUUCCCGACCCCUGCCUUAGGACUAGCUGUUUCACCCUUCAGGUUAUAAUACAGGAGUCUUAAAGGUGCUUCCUUAGGGUGUAAAUAAAUAAGAAUCACAUCAAUCUAUGUGUUUUCAGCACACAGGCAAAAUACCCUCAUAAGCCAAAGAAGAUGUGGUUUACAUCUGCAAGUGUAUGUUAUCAUGGUGAAUUAUUCAAAAGAAUCUCAGCCAUGCCCACAUGCAGCUGCAAGAGGCAGUCACAUCAUCAUCAUCAUCAUCUAUCAGGAGACAUCAGGCUUGCAUUCGACAACAAUUGCUCACGUCCAUGUCUUCACUUUCACUGCAAUGAGCUUGUUUCUCGCUACCAAUAUUGCCAGGCAUCAAUCUCAGCCACAUGAAAUAUUCAUGUGUUUUAUCAUGAUUUGAGUGUUGUGGCAUUGACGAGCAGCUACAUACCUGGUACUACUAUUGGUGUUUUCUUAAAAGUGCAUUAGGGAACAAUGCUGUCAUGGUAAAAUGAUUUGAGGGAAAUCUGGUGUCAAAGUUGUCAUAUUGAAAGAAAUGGGUACAGGGCUUAGAAAGGGAGCUACAGGCCUAUUGUGCUGCCUGUUCAUUAUUUUUAAGAGAAGAUGAGAGACGAAACACCCUAAAAGAAGUAACUUUGUCACCUAUUGUAAUAUUUGCAGCACAUAAUCAACACUGAUACAUUGUGACGAAUAAGAAUUGUCAUUAUUGUUACCAAUAUGGCACCUCUAAGUGGACAUUGAGGUAUUGCGCCUUUAGCCACUAGGUGGUGUUGUGGUUCUUUAAUGACAACCUCUAAACACCCGAUUCGUCCCCCCAGACAGGUUAUUGGCUGCAUCACGGAAAAAUCUGAAUUAAAUACUCAAAAAUUAAUAAACAUAAUAAAAAUGUACAUUUAAAUGAUGAUGGUUUAAUGUUUUGGGGGGAUGAAACGUUCAUAAGCAGCAAAGAGGAGGAGACGGCUGCUGAGGUCAGUGGAGUGAUGAGGAGGAGAGCUGAGCAUAGAGAGGAAAAACAUGCAUAGGAAAUGUUGAAGUAUGGUGCCAUUUUUGGUUUAUUAUCUUAUAAGACAGCACAGCUGUUGUGUAAUGUACGGUGUGUCUUUCCUUCAUCAGGAAGAGAAUCUGUGGUAAGGUCAAAGGUCCAUGCAGACAGUCUAAUAAUAGCCAUAACGUGUGAUAAUGAUGUCUUACUCUCGCCCUCUUGGCACAUACGCUCUCUGUCCAAAUGGAGCAUGUCACAUCUUCCUCCUCUCUCACACCACCUACAUGUUCCCCCUUAUCUCCGCUACCCUCUCCUUCCUUUUAAUCAUCUCACGGCUUUCAACUUUUGCAGAACAAUGUCUUUGGAAAGGCAAAGUGUAACACAGCUCCUGUAGAUCUCAUGACAUUGUGUACCAAAUAACCUGGAACUCAUAGCUUACAACAGGGGUGUCCAAAGUGCGACACAGGGGCCAGUUGCAGCACACGGCUGUUGUUUUAUUGGCCUGCAGCACAUUCUAAAGCUAUAAUUUCAUUGGAAAAGUAAAAAAACAGCAUUCAUGGAAAAUCAGCAGUAGCUUUUACAAGACAAAAUUUAAAAAAAGAUAAAAAAUAACAUGAACAACAACGUAAUAUUAUGAGGAAAAUAACAUCAUUUUGGGAGCAUAUCAUUUACAUUUUAAAGAAAAAGGUUAUUUAAAAAAAUCACAACACUAUGAAAAACUAACUAAACAACAAAUAAAGUUGUAACAAAAUUUACAAUAUUAUGGUACAACAAAGUCUUUAUAUUAUGAAAAGUGAGAUACAAUGAAUGAGGUGCCAAUCAAAAUUUCAUAGUUCAGCGAUCAUUAGGUAGCAGUGAUGUAAAUUCUGCCUCUUUUUAGAGAACCGUUUCUAUUGGUUCAGUGGACUUUGUGAAUUACUAAAUGUGAAAAAAUACACAAUAUCACACUAUUUCAAUUGAUAUUUUAAUCCUCAAUGAACAUUCUAAUGUCCUAUUUAGAAAACACCAAAACAAAGACCUGUCUUUUCGCGUGCAAAUUUCCAACUAUUUACAAUCAAACAACACAAAACAAAAAGAAAAAACAGCAAUCAUGUAACACUGGCAUUAAUAAAAACAAAACAAGUGCCUCAGCUUUGAGGGCUGAUCCUGUUCCUCUUUUCUGUGGAAACACAAUGAAUAAACUUGGUACUUGGUUUCAUUUAAAUUUGGUCAUCACAUCUUCAAAAUAAAAUAAUAGUAAUAUUUUAUCUUGGCCAGCACCUGUCAAAGUCUAGACAGCGUAAUAAUUCCAUCCGGACUCGCCUCCAGCCUAUUGGUGAUCAACAUAAUAGGACCAUUAUUGUCAAGGAUUUACAAGCAGUUGGAAUUCUGUGAGGCUUCAGAGGUAAGUUGGUAAGAGGUAACGUCUUCGUAGUGAUGUUGUCAGGUCUAAGUUGAGAGCUGUUUUGUUUAUGUCAUGUUGGUAGAAAAGUUGACCGACUUUUCGGCUUAUAGCUGCAACCAUUAACAAUACACGUGCGAGACAUGAUUCAUAACCUAGCGUUAACUUUUCAAAACUAACAGUUACCAGCACACCAGUAUUUAGCGUUGCUAGGUAGCCUGCGGCAUCGUGAGUGACAGGAGAGACAUCACUCACAACACCUAUAGCGAAGCGUUGUGUUAAAUAUACAGUAGUAUUUUAUGUUAGCUGCUACAAUAACAAUAUCGCUGUAGCUCGGUUAAUAUACAGAUCAGUUACGUAAAGGAACACUGUUGGCAUUUUUUUGUUACGGCUUUAGCGUCAGAAUAGUUGCAUCCAAAUGGCAUGCAUUGUUAGCUAGCUCAUAUUAAGUACUUUUCUGGCAUUCAUAAUGCACAGAAAAGGGAAAUAAAUACAAUAUGUAGCAAGACUCAUCUUAAUUUUGCCAGAAAACAUUGUGAUGAUUCCCAAAAUACUAAUUUGAUGAGCCUGAACUCCGCAUUUCAGAAAAAGAACAUCAUACCAACAGUAAAAUAUGGUGGUAGUAGUGUGAUGGUCUGCUGUUUUGCUGUUUCAGGACCUGGAAGACUUGCUCUGAUAAAUGGAACCAUGAAUUCUGCUGUGUACCAAAAAAAUCAUCAAGGAGCAUGUCCGGUGACCUUGAGGUCUGUUGGUGACCCCAAGCUAAAACAAACUUGGGUUCUGCAGCAGGACAAUGAUCCAAAACACACCAGCAAGUCCACCUCUGAAUGGCUGAAGAAAAACAAAAUGAAGACUAAGCUACCAUAAAAAUACUUGCCUAAAUUUGAAGGCUUACUGUCAGCAACUGGCAGUGACAGUGAGCAACAUGUGCUCUUGAAUUGCUCUUCUUCAAGGUCACAGACUGUACCUGCUCUCUGGACAAAUCAUUAGGUACACCUGUCUUUACUCCUCCCCUCUAUCACCAGGCUCAGUCAGUCUCUUUCUACUUUCUAGUGGUUUCUAUCAUUCUGUCAUCCUCCGCUGGAUCUCUGUUUCCAUCUGACGCUCCCUCCGGCUCGCAUCCAUCACAACACCUUCAUCCCCACGGCCUGCACACACACACACGCGCACACACAAUAAUCCAUCAGGCUCACAGUGUCCACUUGGACACACAAAGGUCUCCAGCAAUGUGUUGCUCCAUCACUCAUUCGCUUAGCUGCCUUACUUUAGAGACGAGUCGCUGCGCUGCAGCUUCAUUACCAUGGCAACAGCAUCCUCCAUCAAUAACCAGUGGACAGAGCUGAUGUUGCUGGGAAGGGAAAAGAUGGGUGAACAUGAAGUCCUAGUGCAUUUCAAGUUCUUGGAGUGACUGCACCCGAUGUUAGAUUCACCAGGUUGCAGCGUGGAGGUUCAAUAUGUUGCAGAAUGCAGCAGGGAGUCGCUUCUGAAAACAAGCAUUAAAAAAACAAGCAUGUUGGGAAGAAAAUAGAGACGAUCUUCCAGUCAGUAGGAAUAUUGGAGACGAAAAACAUCUCAUUCUGCAGAGUUCUUCACGGUGUCACGCCAACUCUAGUUUUCCAUGCAUCUGUUGUCUGUUGUGUCGCAGCCAAACUCUUAAAUUCAACAUGAUGAACCUCAGUUAGACCCAGAAAGACAAAUGAAUAAAUGAGCGAGGAAAGAAUAAACAAUGUCAAGUGCUGUCAGGAAGCGGAGAACACCUCAGUCAUUCGUCAGACUUUAGCAGGCUACGUUUUGUUUUGGGUAAACGCCACAUUCCCCCAAGGCCUGCCGCUGAUGAAAUAUGAAUACGUCCACACAGGAGCGCUUUAAUAUUGAUGUUGUUUGCUGCAGGCCUUGUUGGAUGUUCUAGUGCAAGCUUUCCAGAUGCAUUUAGCAUAUAGUUUAAAUGCAAUCAGCUGUAAUUGGCAAAACAUUUGAAUAUACUUACACAAUAUUUACAUUUUUGGGGGUUUGACUCUACAUCUGCCAAAAUUAAUCUAUUAAUUGACACUUAAUCAACUACCCAAUUAAUCGACAACUGUUUUGGUCAUCGAGUAAACAUGUCAAUAUUUAAAUACGUAAAUGUCCACAUCAGAGACACAUGAUGAAAUUAGCCAAAUACAUACAGGUGUACGCCACUACAUGAGUGGCUAUAAAAGUGUGAGUAAAAUGAUGCCAAACAUACACUUGACAAUGGCUUUAGCCUUGCUAGAGGACAUCCCAAAUGGUGCCAUUAGAAGACAGCGUGUAUUCACCACUCCAGAUGAACCGAUGCCAUUCGGGCCAGACAACGUGUGCUUUCCGCCAAGAGGCCAGGACACAUAAUUCACUCAGUAAUCAGUACAUCGAAUGUUUAAUUUAUGUCUGUGAGAACACAUCAGUUGCUCCAGGUGAUCAUUGAUGCCACGGAUUCCCCUCACAAGUCCUUCUUGCGUCUCCCAACACAGCAAGGAUGACGAUGCGGACGGUUGGGUCAACAUCUGCAGGUGGCGGUUGCUACGCACUGGAGCGUCUGAUACCGGAGGUACCAGGGACACUGGAAUCCCCUGGGCCUGAGACACUGCUUCAACCCUGCACCCCUGUGAGCACGGCCCCAUCCCAUCACGGCAGCCUCUCUCUGUCGGAUGGGGUGAAUUGGCGCUCUUCUUUCCUUCCAACUGUUUUGGCCACCCUUCUCCACUGGACUUCCACCUUGGGAUGUGACCACUUCCUUUUUUAUGUCUGGAGGUGUCCCCACAGCAUUAACUGCCUCAUAUACUUGGCCCUCAUGCCAGAAGACAAUGAACCAAAAAGCUAAUUUUUACGUGCCUCGACCUCAUUGAGGAGCUCCAUCUCAUAGUUGGUGAAAUUCCUCUUCUUUCCUAAACGAUGCAUUUUGUUUUAUGAUCCAAAAGACAGCAGAAACGGACAUGCUGGGUAUAUUUAUACGAACUAGCAUAUUUAAAUGUGAGCGUGACGAGGGAGGAGUCUGCUUAAGUCCACGUAGAUUGGGAUUACAAAGGAAAUGUGCUUGGAUUCGUGCUUAGGCAUGGUUUUAUGCAUCUCUCCAAUUUGUGCGUUUUAAGUGUGCGGCAUGCUUCAAUAGGAAAUCCAUGGAAGUCGUUGUGCAUCAGGCCCCUGGUGUUUCUGCACUUAUUUGCUCUGUCGGUUCCAAUCUCCUGGUUCUGAAUGAAGAAACGGAAAUUCAAAAUGUGAUUCAUUGAUUAAUCCAAAAUAAAUAACGGACCAAUUUAUCAGUUAUUAAAAUGAUUGGUAGUUAGAGCCCUAUUUGACAGAAACAUUCCGUUUCCAAAAAUUGAGUUUGAAUGUUUGUAUAUUUAGGACUUUUUCCACAAUGACACAAAUGUGCUCCUUCCACAUGACCAUUAAACAUUGUCACUGCUUUUUACACAAAAUGAAUAUUUGUAGGGUUUAAACAUGGCAAAAUCCAAAAAUGUGGUCCAUCCCAUUAGAAGUGAUACAUGCUUUAUGUUGGAUCUGUCAUGUUCUUUAAAAGUACUCCAACACCAUCUCCACCUUAGCCACGUCUGCGACCCUCUGCCAAGCUGACAUCUCUUGUCUGAUUCACAGCAUGGCUUCAAGGCUUUACAAACAGCAGCUUUUCUUCUUCUUCAUCCCCAAUCAAGCCAGUCGGCGGCAGCCCAGCCUCCAGAAAACUCUUUGGUGGUCCUCUUUGACCCUGUGGUGUGCUCACGCUUUCUGCUCCCUUCAUGGCCAUUCAAGUGGAGCAAACACGCACCCGGAGCCAAGCAAGCAUCCUGAAGCGUUGUUAUGUUUUGGAAGAGUCCAGAGGAUCAUGCUGCCAGAGGAGUUUGGCCAGCAUGCAAUCAUCUAAUUGCAUUGAGAGCUUCUCACCUCUUGUCUCAUUCGCACCUGGAAGGCGUGCUAUUUGUCCUGUGUGGCUGACUUAUUUAUUACUCACAUGUAGGAAAUUAAAAGUGUCUGAGCUCCUUUCUUCCAGUUACACUCUCAAAGUGUUGGAGGUUAAAGGUCGGAUACACACGUGAACCAAAUCGCUGCCUUUUGCCAGCAGACAAAAGGAACUCGCUUUGCCUUGCACCUGCGAUGGCGAGGGUGCCGCAGUGGAGUGUCGAAUGCAUUCAUUUUACAUUUUUGGAGCCACUUCAGCGCCACCUGCUGCCGCUUAAAUCCUUGAUUUCCCAUGACUCCUUGUGGCUGCUCCCACCCAGCUGCGUCUGGAGGAAAAAGGCAGCAAUGAAGAGGUUUGCUAGACAGAUCUCUAAAAAAGAUACAUGUAUAAAAGACAGGCUUGUACGGCAUUAGCGAGGCAAGCUUGGAAUUGACUUAUGUGUACAUAUGGAACGACAGGUACCCUUAACGCAGGCAUACAGCAUGAGCGGUGUUUUCAAGAGGGCUUAUGUGAAGCUUUGAAAGGUUACGCACAGUUUGCAGCAAAAAAAAAAAAAAGCUCUAAAAGAUGUGAACUUGCUGCUAGUUUGUUGGGAGACCAUGUAAUUAUGACAAUAUGGAGCCUUAAUCCCCAGAGCGUGCAGAUGGAAUGAUAAUAACACGGCUAAAUGUGUCCUCUGUCAUCUUAAACUGUGUGCUGAAGCUGAUAAGGAGUGACACUUAAAUCACAUUUGACUGCAGUUCUAACUCUCCACCUUGCUGUCACACUGAUCAAAUAAAACAGGCACAACAUCAGCUACGACAUCUUGUCUUAAUAUUUCUCAGGAUUAUCAUCAUAGACAUUUGUAGGACAUCUUUAAAUGGUAAAGGUGUACCUAAUGAGGUGACCAGUUGCUGACCAAAAUAAUAACUAAGAUACAAUAUGUAGGUUAUGUAUUGUUUGUCAUCAGGCUACGGUAGUAUGCAGGAAAGCAAGGCUGUGUGGGUGUCCAUAGGGCAGCCUGGGGGCCAUUUAUAAUUUAACAGGGAAAACAAAAAAGGGAGAUUUUACAAGAAUUAUUUCACUGAAAAAAGUUGAACAAAGAGUACUCCAGUUUGCAUCUUUCAUUCUAUCAUGUGACAUGAUCAUCUUGCAAUCAAGGAACAGAUGUCGAACAUCAUUCCUUGAUCACAAACCAGAAGUGCUGACAUCAUCCAAAUUGAGUCAAACAGAUUUAUUAUUUGAAUUUUAUUUAAAUAUUUGGAAAAUGGUUCAAUUCCACCCUCGGCCAUCUCUGUGUGGAGUUUGCAUGUUCUCCCCGUGCAUGCGUGGGUUUUCCUCCCACAUUCCAAAAACAUGCUAGGUUAAUUAGCGACUCCAAAUUGUCCAUAGGUGUGAAUGUGAGUGUGAAUGGUUGUUUGUCUAUAUGUGCCCUGUGAUUGGCUGGCGACCAGUCAAGGGUGUACCCCGCCUCUUGCCCAAAGACAGCUGGGAUGAAUGAAUAUUUGGAAAAUAUGAGGUAAAAAAAAGAGCAAAGACUGACGUUCAUACUAAUAAAACACUUUUUCACCUGUAUCACAAAGCUGAGAUGCAGAGUUCUGCUGAAAUAUAUAAAAUAUUUAGAAUAUCAGCAUGUGGUGCUUAAAGAAAUAUCAGUAUGUAGCACACACUGGAAAAAGUUUGGACACCCCUGAUCUAGCAGGAAGUAGGAGUUGUUAAGUAUGUCAGUGUAAGCUACAGGCGGAAUUAUGACAUGUGCCCUCCAUAUACAUAAAACGGUAAAGGUGUCGCUCCAUUGCGCCCCCUGUGGGUUGGGGUCAAAGUGCUUUGUAGUAGUCCAGAUAUACUCCUAUGUACUUCUAGACAAUGAAGUCCCACCUGUUCCCCUGCAAUGAUGUUUUGCUUGCGCUGGUCAUGUUUUUCCAAUUAUACCAAAUUGUGUCCCAAAUGUUAUGAUGAUAUGCCUAAAGUUACAGAGGGAUUUUUGUUAGCUUGAAGAAAUACCUCCAUUACUAUUACAGGUGCUAGGAAUAAGGUGGACCUGCAUGUUAAUAUGGAUAUUCAUCACAGGGGGCGCUCUCACCCCAGGCUGUCCAUGACUCCAGGCUAACUUGCGUCACUUCUUUGAAUUGAAAGGCCCAUUCCAUUCCGUGUGUGUGCACCAUUGUUCCUCCUCCGUCACUGGUCGAAGCAGAGAUGAUAAACUCCCUCCCAGACGGCAUCCUUUUGGCCUAAAUUUGCUUGUUGCCACGGAAACAACAGCAUACUGCUCUUAAAGUGGAGGUGAUCCCCCCCCAAAAAAAGACACGUGAUGAUGAUCGCUGUGUGUCUUCUGACGCACGUGGCAGCAAACUUCUCUCAUCCCUCGUCAUCCUCCCUAAUUCCUUCAUUCCCGUCUCAGCUGUGUGAGGCAGUUGGCAAUGCUUUGCUUCCUUUGCCGAUGCAGUCAAUCCUCCCUGUGUGUGUGCGUUCUUCACUUUCACUUGUUUCUCUUCACUGCGGUGCUUUGAUUUAAACCGGAAAGCUCGGAGCAAAGAGGUCUCGCACACAUACACAACAAAGUGAAUCAGAAGACUACAUGUUAACGCCCUAACUGGCACCCGGGGCGAAACCACUGUUACAACCUAAUGAGACGACACACACACACACACACAGUCUGUCUCUUUAGGGAACAUCAGAAGAGUCUGACAGCAAAGGGGUCCCGAGGCAACAGGAAAGGAUCCACGUCCUUGGUGGCCGCUGGUCAUUCAUUAGCCGCAGUUGAGAUGAUCCUAAUUGAACUUGCUGACUCACAUCCAGCAAUGCUUCCCUAAAGUGUGCGACAAGUGCUUGGUGACCAGCGUGGGCGUUCCAGCAGAUGUGCAUCCAAGUGAUGUUAAUGUUAGGUUGGGACUUACCCCCUAGCAAGGAUAUCAUGUACAUAUCGUACACCGGCGUGUUAUUCUACCAAGAACCACUCUGUUCUUUUCAUGCCCAACACGCUGAAGCCAGGCUAAACUUUGGGAAGCGAUAGAACAACAUGGAAGGAAUAAUAUCUGGAGAGCGAAUGCUCCUGCAGCUUGUGACGGCUCUACUUCUCUCCGGCACUGACUGUUGCAAUUGUUCUGUAUCUACUCCUUUUUCUAGUAAAUUGGAGUUUCCCAGACUCAUUUCACAGCUGCUUAGAACAAAAGAACCCAGGAGGCCCAGUAAAAGGACCACUCGCUCCCACCAAUUUCUUGUGCUAUCAUGCAAUACAACA